AGGGAAGGAGGAGAUGGUUUGCCGUUGAAGCUGAGUUCUGGAUGAACUCAGGUUCGGCAGCCGAAAGUUCAUUCGGCCGCCGAACCUCCUGCAUGGUGGCUUGGUUGCCACAGUUUGCCCCCGAGUGUUUUUGCAUGUUCGGCUCUGUUUGGGGGAUUCGACCGCCGAAGGUGCCGCCGAAGGUGCUUGAGUUUCGUCUCUGGAGAGGACAUUCGGCCGCCGAACCUGCCGCCGAAAGUGU
rnacentral:lncRNA from 1 species